CCUACGGGUGGCAGCAGUGAGGAAUAUUGGUCAAUGGACGAGAGUCUGAACCAGCCAAGUAGCGUGAAGGAUGACGGCCCUAUGGGUUGUAAACUUCUUUUAUAUGGGAGUAAAAUGUUCUACGUGUAGGAUUUUGUAUGUACCAUAUGAAUAAGGAUCGGCUAACUCCGUGCCAGCAGCCGCGGUAAUACGGAGGAUCCGAGCGUUAUCCGGAUUUAUUGGGUUUAAAGGGAGCGUAGGUGGGUUGUUAAGUCAGUUGUGAAAGUUUGCGGCUCAACCCUGAAAUUGCCGUUGAAACUGGCAGUCUAGAGUACAGUAGAGGUAGGCGGAAUUCGUGGUGUAGCGGUGAAAUGCUUAGAUAUCACGCAGAACUCCGAUUGCGAAGGCAGCUCACUGGACUGCAACUGACACUGAGGCUCGAAAGUGUGGGUAUCAAACAGGAUUAGAUACCCGUGUAGUC
rnacentral:rRNA from 1 species